ensembl:lncRNA
CUGUAAAGUCAGCGCAUACACGGCGCACCAGUUUCGCCGUCAUAAAUCUCUGGAGGCGCACAUCCAAUUCACCAAGGACUGGGUGCAAUUCACAGAGGCAUAUCUGACUGGAAGAACGCUGUGUACAGUGGUUGUGUGACUGGAGGAGCUAUUGGCUUUUGCGCUGGUCUGAAGGCUGGUGUUUAUUCUCUGCUGCAAUUAAACAUGACUUGCAGUGAAGCUCUAUGGAGUGGCUCGAUGGACAAAAACAUAAAUAUUACACAUGUGGCCCAGAGAAAGAAGACUCGCGUUGUGAGUUUGCUAACCCUG